rnacentral:tRNA from 1 species
ACCCCAAUAGCUUAAUUGGUUAGAGCACCCGACUCAUAAUCGGAAGGUGUAGAAUCAUACUCUACUUGGGGUA